GGAUCAAAGUACUGGAUACAAUGGGCCAAGGCGGGAGGUAUCAACUGGUGGGCGGGUAUCUUCUAGGAAAGAAUUUUAUGGGGGAGCUGCAUUUACGACUUCCAAGACAUCUCAUAGGAGAGGUAUAACAGAACCACAAUCUGAUGAAUAUUCACUAAGAGGGCAGAGACCUAACCUUUCUGGAGGUGUCGAUCAUUAUAACAAGACCCAAGAGUUUGACUCCGAUUUUCAGGAUAAUGUUGAGAAUUUUGGUGAUCAUGGAUGGAGGCAAGAGAGUGGUCACAAUAACUUCUAUUUUCCUUACCCUGAACGAGUAAAUCCAAUUUCUGAGACCG
rnacentral:lncRNA from 1 species